UACGUAGGGUGCAAGCGUUAAUCGGAAUUACUGGGCGUAAAGCGUGCGCAGGCGGCUUUGCAAGACAGAUGUGAAAUCCCCGGGCUUAACCUGGGAACUGCAUUUGUGACUGCAUGGCUAGAGUGCGGCAGAGGGGGAUGGAAUUCCGCGUGUAGCAGUGAAAUGCGUAGAUAUGCGGAGGAACACCGAUGGCGAAGGCAAUCCCCUGGGCCUGCACUGACGCUCAUGCACGAAAGCGUGGGGAGCAAACAGGG
rnacentral:rRNA from 1 species